UCAUCCCAAAGGGUCACCCUCUCAGAGGCUGCUGGUUGGACCGAAAGGAAACUGCAGGUCGGGACACAGUAGGGAUGAGAGGACACUCAGGGGACAG
ensembl:miRNA MIR9797 microRNA mir-9797